AGUGAACGCUGGCGGUAGGCCUAACACAUGCAAGUCGAACGGCAGCACAGUAAGAGCUUGCUCUUACGGGUGGCGAGUGGCGGACGGGUGAGGAAUACAUCGGAAUCUACUUUUUCGUGGGGGAUAACGUAGGGAAACUUACGCUAAUACCGCAUACGACCUACGGGUGAAAGCAGGGGAUCUUCGGACCUUGCGCGAUUGAAUGAGCCGAUGUCGGAUUAGCUAGUUGGCGGGGUAAAGGCCCACCAAGGCGACGAUCCGUAGCUGGUCUGAGAGGAUGAGCCGCCACACUGGAACUGAGACACGGUCCAGACUCCUACGGGAGGCAGCGGUGGGGAAUAUUGGACGAUGGGCGCAAGCCUGAUACAGCCAUACCGCGUGGGUGAAGAAGGACUUCGGGUUGUAAAGCCCUUUUGUUGGGAAAGAAAAGCAGCAGGUUAAUACCCCGCUGUUCUGACGGUACCCAAAGAAUAAGCACCGGCUAACUUCGUG
rnacentral:rRNA from 1 species